rnacentral:lncRNA from 1 species
UAUUCAACCAGUGUAUGGAUUGUAAUUUUCAUACCUUAUAAUAUUUUCUUUUUAACAUUUAGUCGAUAGAUAAAUUCUAAAAUAUUUAUUUAUUUAUCUGAUGAGUGCAUUGGGCAAGCCCCAAGAAACUAAUAAAAAAAUGGCUACCAUCUUGGAAAUUAAAUGCAUCCAGGCAUCCGUCGGACAAAAUGCAUCAGGU